CGUGUGCUCUUCCGAAUGAUUCUCGUCAGAAAAAAAAAAAUCCCAAGCCAAAUACUCAUCGAUCUAGCAAGCGAGCGGCCUUCUUCCCCGACCCCGACCAGCUCUCUCGCGCCCGACCUCGCUCCACACCGUCAGGUCAUCCAUCAGCAGCAACGAACGCAUGCAUUAUCUAAAUCUGAAGAUUGCCAAGAGAAAAACAACGGGGAAAGAUUUAAGGCGCUUCGUUGCUCCCUGCCCGCAACCUGUUCGGCGUUUUGCCUCCAAGGACCCGGAGGAGAAGAAGGCCAAGAUGAAGGAGCUGCUGACCAAGUAUGAGCCGCGGAGAAAGAUGUCUAUCUAAAGGUGGCUUAUUUUCGUUUGGGUGCUCCUCAAGCUGGAGAUCAAGUUGUUGCUUAAGCGUUCCGGCAUUGGAACCAUUAACAAGCAAGAUUUGCUUCAGUUCUCUUAGAUUGUCCAGGCCAGAAUACUGAUAUGGCGGCGACCCACUG